rnacentral:rRNA from 1 species
CGUUGGGCACUCUAGCCAGACUGCCGGUGAUAAAUCGGAGGAAGGUGGGGACGACGUCAAAUCAUCAUGCCCUUUAUGUCCUGGGCUACACACGUACUACAAUGGCCGUUACAACGGGAAGCGAAGGAGCAAUCCGGAGCAAAUCCCUUAAAGGCGGUCCCAGUUCAGAUUGUGGGCUGAAACUCGCCCACAUGAAGGCGGAAUUGCUAGUAAUUGCAGAUCAGCAUGCUGCAGUGAAUACGUUCCCGGGCCUU